UGGGGAAUUUUGGACAAUGGGCGCAAGCCUGAUCCAGCCAUGCCGCGUGAGUGGAGAAGGCCUUCGGGUUGUAAAGCUCUUUCGGUGGGGAAGAAAUUGCUUCGAUUAAUACUCGGAGUAAAUGACGGUACCCGCAUAAGAAGCACCGGCUAACUACGUGCCAGCAGCCGCGGUAAUACGUAGGGUGCGAGCGUUAAUCGGAAUUACUGGGCGUAAAGCGUGCGCAGGCGGUUGUGUAAGUCAGAUGUGAAAUCCCCGGGCUCAACCUGGGAACCGCAUUUGAGACUGCACGGCUAGAGUGUAGCAGAGGGGGGUAGGAUUCCACGUGUAGUAGUGAAAUGCGUAGAGAUGUGGAGGAAUACCGAUGGCGAAGGCAGCCCCCUGGGUUACUACUGACGCUCAUGCACGAAAGCGUGGGGAGCAAACA
rnacentral:rRNA from 1 species